rnacentral:rRNA from 1 species
GAUGAACGCUAGCGAUAGGCUUAACACAUGCAAGUCGAGGGGCAGCACAAGGUAGCUUGCUAUCUGGGUGGCGACCGGCGCACGGGUGCGUAACGCGUAUGCAACUUGCCCUAUACAGGAGGAUAACCCGUCGAAAGACGGACUAAUACUGCGUAUGCUCACAACUUGGCAUCAAGUGGUGAGGAAAGAAAUUCGGUAUAGGAUAGGCAUGCGUCCCAUUAGCUUGUUGGUGAGGUAACGGCUCACCAAGGCAACGAUGGGUAGGGGAACUGAGAGGUUUAUCCCCCACACUGGUACUGAGACACGGACCAGACUGCUACGGGAGGCAGCAGUGAGGAAUAUUGGUCAAUGGGCGCGAGCCUGAACCAGCCAAGUCGCGUGAAGGAUGACUGUCUUAUGGAUUGUAAACUUCUUUUAUACGGGAAUAACAAGAGUCACGUGUGACUCCCUGCAUGUACCGUAUGAAUAAGCAUCGGCUAACUCCGUG